AACACUGUUAACCUGCGGUACCUGCGGAGGGAUCAUUACAGAGUUGCAAAACUCCCUAAACCAUUGUGAACGUUACCUAAACCGUUGCUUCGGCGGGCGGCCCGGGUCCUUCCCGGCGCCCACCGGCCCUCGCGGGCGCCCGCCGGAGGUAAACCAAACUAUUGCAUUGUAUGGCCUCUCUGAGUCUUCUGUACUGAAUAAGUCAAAACUUUUAACAAUGGAUCUCAGAUCGGAAGAGCA
rnacentral:misc_RNA from 1 species